rnacentral:rRNA from 1 species
CCUACGGGAGGCAGCAGUGAGGAAUAUUGGUCAAUGGACGAGAGCCUGAACCAGCCAAGCAGCGUGAAGGAUGACUGCCUUAUGGGUUUUAACUUUCUUUUUUAAAGGAAUAAAACGAGGCACGUGUGCCUUUUUGCAUGUACUUUAUGAUUAAGGCUCGGCUAACUCCGUGCCAGCAGCCGCGGUAAUGCGGAGGAUCCGAGCGUUAUCCGGAUUUAUUGGGUUUAAAGGGAGCGUAGAUGGGUUUUUAAGUCAGUUGUGAAAGUUUGCGGCUCAACCGUAAAAUUGCAAUUGAUACUGGCAGUCUUGAGUACAGGUGAGGUAGGCGGAAUUCGUGGUGUAGCGGUGAAAUGCUUAGAUAUCACGAAGAACCCCGAUUGCGAAGGCAGCUUACUAAACUGUGACUGACAUUGAUGCUCGAAAGUGUGGGUAUCAAACAGGAUUAGAUACCCUAGUAGUC